ACAAUUUCAGGCCUAACACUUUGGGUGUACUACCUAUCUGAAGUAUUUUGUGCCUCUUCUGAAAUGCAGGGAAUGAAGCUGAUAUUUCAAUAUUGGGCCCAUGUUACUGUUUUGAAGUUAAAUACAAUGGUAAUGAAACAGCAAAGUAAUUUUAAGGGUCAAAUUCUGGCCUUUCUGAGGACCACAAGUUGUUUUGUCAAAGCAGAUGUUGUCUCCUACACUUGAUCAACCACUUAAUGACUGACUCAGGAAGAGGUAAGACUCCUUCAGUUUUUGUGAGUUGUUUCAUAUUGCUUUGUAUUUUAAUAUGUAGCUCAUUACUAGAUCUUAAUUAGACCAGACAUUAUUUUGAGUUGCCAAUAAUUUUUGGAUGGUGAUUCUCCAAGCCUUUUUUCUGGUAUUAUAGC
rnacentral:lncRNA from 1 species